GCCGAGCUAAUUAACGCAAGCUUAUAACCCAAGUGGGGGCAUCAAAGUGUUGGAACGCUGGUCUGGUCUCAGCUGGUCGGGUCUGUCGUGGCUCUAUUCUGGCCCGCCCGCUCCAAGCCGGGAGUUGAGCCGUGUGGAUUGGGCGAAGGCUCAGGCUUCACGGUUCCUAGAGCGGAGGGCACCGCGUAAGGCUGGCUUCACAGAGCAACGAUCACCUCCCGCCCUUGGCAGUGGAAGGAUAACGGGUCGGUGCCACCCGGAUCCAUCAUGCCCCGCUGGACCGUUCCAAUUGAACCAACGCUUUUUGUAUUUUUUUGCUUUCUUUACCGUAAAUCUCUGUUUUAAUUCGAAUGCUUUUGUGGCGUAUACCAAAAUCCCAAAUCAUCUGACUCAUUUAAACAUCUGUGGUGCUGAUUUUGGUGGUGCCGGCGACGCAUUGCCGGAGCAGUGGUGGUGCAACAAAACUCGGAAAAAAUGUUGACUUCGCUGAAAACAUAGUUGGCGCAAAUGCAAUCGUCUUCCUUUUCGACAAUGGCAUUACAGCAAUCUUGUUGAAUGGCCGGUUAUCGAGUCCGAUAAGAUACACAAAUCUCAUCGUAACAAGUAGCAGAAGCAGUGUGGUAAGCUCCAAGGAACUUUUCAAGCUUAGGAUGGGGGGAGAGAGCCGGUGUUUUGGGUGGAGCAGGAGAGCUGGAAUCGGAAGCAGCCAAGCGUUGUGUCAGUGCUUAAACAAAAGAGAAGGAAAAACACAGCAAGCACUCCUCCUUUCAUCAUCUUUGCUAAAUUUGAUGAAUCACAAGUGAAAUAUAAGUGAGUUGAGUUGCAUGGUGAAUGUCAAAACUUAAAUUGAUAAUUAUCAACAUUUAAAUGAGAUUGAUUUGAUUGUAUCGAUCCAAUUAGUUGAUCGGCGUUAGUCUCAUCUCCUCCAGAAGCAAAAUCCAAGUGUUUUAGUGUCCUUACCCAACCUACAGCCGCAUCACCCCACUCGCUCCCACACCAGGUAGUUCUAAUGGUGCUUCCUUUUCUCAACACUGAGUAAUCUUAUUAUUUUUAAUUUCUUGCAGGAACUUUAAUCCAUAUACAUGAUCACUUGAAAUUUUACCCUUAAAUAAAAAGAAAUGGGAAGAUAAUUGUGUGAGAGUAUGCAGAAUCUAAACUUUAGGAACACCACUUGUCGUUUUGAGUUUUUUUCUUUUGGGAGUUUUAAUUGUCGAUUCAUCCCUUUUUUAAUGUUUGUCCACAACAACGUAAAUCUCAAACUCCCGAAGUUGCGAUUGAGAAAUACAAUUUGAUUAAAUGUGGCCAAAAUUUUGAGUUGCCAAAGUACAAGUUAAGAGAGAACCACAACAACUACAACUUGUCUCACAUCGACAAUCAGCAGCUAUAAACAACGCUUUAUAUGUUGUGCACAAGCCGCACAUCCCGUCGAGCUUAGCAACGCAAGCUUGUAACCCGAGUGGGGACAUUAAGGUGUUGGGACGCUGGUUCUGUCUUAAGCCGGCCGGGUCCGAUGUGGCUCUUUUCUGGCCCGCCCAUUCCAAGCUGGGAGUUGGGCCGUGGAGCUUGGGCGAAGGCCUGGGCUCCCUGGUUCCUAGAGUGGAGAGCACCGCGUAAGGCUGGCUUCACAGAGCAACGAUCAUUUCCCGCUCUCGGCGGUGGAAGGAUAACAGGUCGGUGCCACUUGGAUCCAUCAUGGCCCGCUAGGCAGUCCCGAUUGAACCAACACGUUUUUUUUAUGCUAUUUCAACUUUUCGUUAUUUUUAAUUAAGGGCCUCCGGGUGCCAUGGCCAAUAUCUUAUAAUGGGUUUUUCUUCUUUUUAUUUUUUUUAUAACAAAUGAUAUUAUCUACACUAAAGAGGUUGUGUUAAGCCUCACAAUGAUCUUGCAAUAACUUGGUUAAAAUUCGUCUAUGAUGAUAAUCGAAUAUAAGAGAUCUCACUUACAAGUGAAGACAUAUCAUUAGAUUGUAGUACUAAGUGACAAUGUUUUUUUUUUUCUUUCCCAAAUGAAUGAUUUCAAACUUUGAGUGCAUAGUGGUAUACAUAUGUGGUUAAAAAUAAGAAAAUUUAAUUUUAAACUUUGUAACUUACACGCAAAAAAGGGAUUAAGAAUAUCCUUAGAGACUUUGUUCCGGCUUAAGUGGCUUGGCACAAUUUCAACUUCGUCCAAUGGUGGCGCGGAAUUUGUAUCAAAGAUUACCAUUUAUCUUAUUUUUGUUUGACGGAAAAACUUAAAACAUAUUGUCUUGUGUUGGCUUGCGGACUCGAAUUCAAUCUUUCGUGCAUCAACUAUUUGACGAAAAUGUAGAUGAAUACGAAUUUAUAGAGUACAUUCUAUAUUUUGACAAAACGGUAAUUUAAACUACUCUAAUCUAUGGAGGAAUUAGGUCAGUGUACUGGGUCAUAUAUGAUAAUGUCUAUCCCAAGUUGUUCCAAACUUUGGACAUUGAAAUCCCUUGCUUUUGUGUGCACAAUGAGGAAGGGAGGCCUGGAGAAAACAGUAGGAUUGGAAACGCAAACUUGAUCUGGAAACCAAAAGAGAUUGCUGCAAUCUUUCAUAUGAGGAUGAGGAUCUCCAAAGCAUAAUUGUAUCGGUAGCUCCGGAAAUCACUAAAGGAUAGAUUUUAAUCAAAUGGUCAAAAGUUGUAUAACUACUACUUUUAAAUUUGUUGAAUUCCAACCUAUCUAAGCUGUCAUCAAUUGUCGAGACUAGAUGACAGAUGUUGGUUAGAUCAGUUAGUUAAGCCAGUGGCACUCAAGUUCGAAUUAGAUCGGUUAGUUAAGCCAGUGUGCUCACUGCACUCAAGUUCGAUUUCUUUUUCUCAUAAAUUAGAGUUGUUUAAAAUAUCAUUAUGUUAAUUAAAAAAGAAAGUUUGACAGUAUGCUGUAAUUAGCGGGUUUGGUCACUUCUAUCAUGUUCAUACACAGUGCCUAGUUUGGCUUGGAUUUUCUCUUCUAUAUACAUGAAGUAAAAAAAAUCAACUAGUUCUUAGCCUAAGGUACAUUGAUCCCUUCUAAACGUUGAAGUCUCAGGUUCAAAUUUUCCAUGCUUCCAUUGAUGAAAAAAGGGUACCAAAAAUAGUUCACAAUUAAAUGAUUUAUAAAAAAAUUUGCGUUCACAAGACUGAUUGUUGGUACAUUUCAGAGUCACUAUCACCUUCUAACGUCGGCAUUUGCAAAAGCAAAUUUAAAUUAGUAAAGUGCUUCUGACAUGUUUUUUUUCUUUCUUUUAAAAAGCAGGAAUUAACUUGGCUGCUAAAUUGUUAACUUGGCUGCUGAACAAUUCAACAGCCAGCUUAUACUCAAUUUCAUGUAAACACGUAUUUAAGUUUUGAUUUUUUUAAUUAAAAUUUGAACACGUGUUCACAUAAAAUUAGGUAUAAGCAAGAAUAGCUGCUAAUUGUUGAGCAGCCAAGUCUUGUUCUAAAAAGCAGCAUUCACAUUACUUUCGUGUUUCGUCCAAAAAAAACUUUACUUUCAUGUGAUGUUUUUUACUUUAUGUCAUGAGACUUCGUAAUUAGCUCAUAUUUUCCGAGGUAGUUAAUACCCUUUUCUGAAAGAACCCCAUGACAGCUUUAAAAGGCUGAGAGGAAUAAGGACUCAUAUGCAACCCCUGGGCAUGCCAAUGACACUUUUGACAUCCUGAGAGAUGCAUGCAAGUAUCCUUACUCUAGAAGAUGUUGAACUGUUUGACUUGAUUUUUCAACCUGCGAAUGAUUCUUACUCCAUCGCAGAACAGUUUUUUAGCAGUUGAACAUUUUUAAAUCUAGAGAGAGAGAGAGAGAGAGAGAGAGAGAGAGAGAGAGAGCGAGGAGCUCCAAUGCCUUUAUAUAUAGCCAUGCCCAAAACGAAUGUAUAUGUUUUCUAACUUAGUUGUGAACAUGAGGCUCUUAGUCAUGUCAAUAGUGUUAAGCUUAUUCUGCAGAGACGUAAGGCUAGUCUCUGGUGAUAUCGGCACUGCAACUUCCUACGGUCCUCCUUACAUACGUGAGCAAACAACAUAUUAAUUCAACGCAAUGAAGAUAAAGAUAUCCAAUAUGUUAUGUCAUCAAAGAUUGUGAAUUAGAACUACAUACACAUUUAUUUAUGAUUUUGAUUAACAAUUUGACAACGUAACAUGUCUGAUACUUUGCUAAAAACAUAUAGUUUAGGUUAUAUAUGCUCUAUUUCUUAACUGGUCUAUUAUGAAUGACAAUUCAUUUUUCUUAAUGCCAUUGUAAUUGUUGUGCAGCUACAAAGUGCUUUGGGAGUAGGCAAGACCAAUUCCCUCCGGGGAACCUGUUUGUGGCGGUGAGUGAAGGAUUGUGGGACAAUGGUGCUGCGUGUGGAAGGCGAUAUAGACUGAGGUGCCUGAGUGGACGUAAUAAACCCUGCAAGGGUGGUGCUACGGUGGACGUGAAGGUGGUUGAUCUUUGCAAAAAAUCACCUUGCCCUUCUACAGUAGCAAUGUCAACUGAUGCUUUUGCAGCGAUCUCACACUCUCCUUCUACACGAAUCAACGUCGAAUAUGUCCAGUAAAUAUCUCUACAAACUUUACACUCUCUUAUAGUUCUACUAUUCAUUUUCCUUAUAUAUACAUACAUAUAUAUACACACACACAUACACUAAUAUUUAUGUCGAUGGUUUGAUCUUCAGGAUAUGAAAUCACCUGAACCAGAUAUAUGAUGACCACGUACAGCUGAGGAUAUUAUCAAUUAUACUGGCUUUGUAGUUCAUCUUGAACUCAAGUUUAUAAUGAUAAGAGAAACAUUGUAAUAUUAAUUUGAUACUACCUUUUCUUAGUUUGUCCAUUAGUCUUCAAUAAAAUGAUAUGCAGAGUUAUUAUUAUUAUUUUUAUUAUUAUUUUUUAUCAUACAUCCACAUCCCAAUUAAAACAAAAAUAACAUUACUUAUGUCACGUUUACUAAUCAUAAUGGAAACCACGCUCCCGAUUAGUUUUUGUACUAUGCUUAUAAAUAGGAAAAUGAUAACAACACUUUUCGUACAUAUCCUUUUUUUUUCUUGGGGAUGAGACUAGACUAUACUUGAAGAUGCAAAAUCUAAUACACGACAUAGCCACGGAUACUAGUAAUACACCACAUAAUUAAUGGAGAUUGCUCUCUAGAUCAUCCAAUUAAUUUUGAAUUGGAUGAUCUAGUUCUGUUCUACUCAAUUAUUUUGUAGCCCUUAAACGUGUUUCAUUUAGCACCUAAUCAACCGUACUUAUCCAUCUUGCCCAUGACAGUCACUAUGCAGUAUUGACUUCCUUUCUUACAUACAAGGUAGAUGUCACGGUAAUAAUAUUUCAAGUCAAUUAUGCAUUAUUAUGUGUUAUAACUUUUUUAUAUAAACAGUGUAUGAUUACUUAAGAUACAUCCAAAGUAACAUCCAUUGGAAGAAAGAAGGAAAAGGUUUGGCUAGUAGCUAAAGGCUUUACUUGGAAAGGGGCAACCCGGUCCUCUAUUGCAUCCCCUGUCGUAUCUGUGUAAACAGUUCGUUGUUUCUGGAUUGAUUUGUUUUCUCCACUUUGAGCCAUGAGCGGAAUGUAUCUAUUUUAGCCACGAGUGGAAUGUAUCUAUUUUAGCCACAUGCACCUUAUCGAAAUGGAACCUCCACUGAGUCAAAAGACAAAACAGUGGUCCUAAACAAAACGGAAUGUGCAUGGUUUUGUAGGCUUGUAGCCCUUUUUCAACAAGCUAGGCGUCUUAUUAGGAAUUUAGGACUCAAACAACUGUAUCAUAAUUGAUGAGUGGGAUGAUGUGUGGUGUAUUAUCAUGUCCACUACUGCAACUAAGAACUAUCUGAUCAAUUUUACACAUAGUUUUUUACAUCUCUGCUUCUGGUAUAUGGCCACUAAUUAAUCAACUUUUGGAUGCAUGCUACAUUUUCACGAAUGCUUGAAUUAAUUAUGUAAUUUCACAAGACUCGGUCCUCUUACUAAAUGUAUUCGAUAAUACACAAAAUUUUCUCACACGAUCCCAACUUCCAAAUAUCCUCAUCAUGCUUGUGUUGAGUCGGGCCAGCUCAAAUGGUUGUACUUAAGAUAGAAAGUAGUAAACUUUGUUUCCAAUAUCAUCCAAGGAAAGAACCCCUAUUCACUACAAGAAUCAAGCAGUUCUAACCAUAAUUUAAAUAAACAGCAUUUUCUGCAAGUCGGCAAUACUUAAUUGCCUUUAAUUUAAAUAAGCAGUUCUAACCAUAUAAGUGGCUCCAUAUAUACAUUUAAUUACCUUACAGAAGCGCUUCAGGUUCUCAAUAGCAGUACUUUCUGCAAGUCGGCAAUACUCGUCAAUUGAGUAUGCAGAGCACCCAUUAGCUAGCACGCAAAAAGCAGAUGUGAGCUUCUGAUGAGGUGAUAGACCUUGUCGGCUUACGGCAUCUAGCCUCCUUGCAAAGUAAUGGUCAUGAUUGACAACUGCGUUCAAGAUGCUUUCAAAAAGCUCUCUCCUUAUCCGAAACCGCCUCCGAAAAUCAUGAGCAGGAAAUCUCGGACACUCGAUGAAAUAAUCUUUCAUCAUUAUGUCAUGACACUCUUCUCUGUCACGCUGCACAUAUGAAUGCCCCGUGACAGAACCACAAUGGCUAGAUUCGCCAUGGUGCUCAGAUUGCAUAAACGAGUUGACAAGUUCAACUUCGGCGUUGAACAAUUCUGCAUCCUCAAUCUCGAUCCUUGCUUGGUAUUGUGCCAUCUGCAUUGCCAUGCUAUGCCUUCUUCUAUCACCCAUUGAUGAGACAUUGAGGAUUUUUAGGAAACAAAAACUCUUUGAAAGUUGAAAGAUUGGUGAAUAUAGAGGAUGUUUGAGGGUUGAAAGGUUGUGUGAUCAACAAACAUUGGACAUAUGUUUAUAUAAAGGAUGAUUGAUGAAAGUUGAACGGUUGGUGAAAGUUGAAAGUUUGGUGUUGAACGGUUGGUGAAUUGAAAGUUAGCCCAAGGUUGAAAGAUUGGUGAAAGUUGAAGUCUUGCUUGUGGAAAAUUUAGUGAUUUUUCAAUAUUUAUCUGAAUUUAAAUUUUUUUAGAUUAAAAUGUUCAUAAAAUUAAUUUACAAUAGUCUACAUAUUUAUUUAUUUUUUAAAAAAUUUAAUUUAAGAAAAAAAAUAGUCUAAUUUCAUUCUUUAAUAAUUCCGAACUAAAAGUUUAGGCUAUAACGGUUGGAGUAGAAAAACUAUUUCUGGGCUACAAGCUAAAUUUUUCGGGUUAAAAUAUUUGACUUUUAGCCCAACCAUUGGAGAUGGUCUAAAGGAAGAUGAAUUAUUCUAUUAAAAGAGGUGGGAGGAUUGAGCUAGACCGCACAAUAGGUCAACUACUAAGUAUUGAACUCAACACAUAUAAUACUUUAUCGUCAUUUGUGUGAGUCAAAUAUGAAACUUUUCUUUACUAGUAAAAAAAAAAUACCGUUAGAUUGUAGUACUAUUUAAUAGUAUCUAUUCCUUAUUUAGCCGCCAAACAAUUAAAUAAUGGAGGCAAAUCACGAUUAAAGGCUUGAGAUUAACUUCAAGUCAUCAGAUUCAGAGAAUCAUGAUUUCACCAAUUUAAAAGAUAGAAAAUGUGUUUAUCGACUUCAAAAGUAAGUGGCAUGGUGGUUAUCUCGCGAGGAUCAAUAAUCUCAUGCUAUCCAAAACAAUAAUUUAUUUAUUUUAUUAUUUUCUUAUAGACUGCGAGGUCAAAGAGUCAAAGAUGAUACCAACUGAAAGAGUAGCAACCAAAAUUUCUUUUUCGCAUCUACUUUACGUACACCUCAUUCCUUAUGCAAGCAAAACCAUGUGAUUCUGAUCAAUUUCCCUUCUGCUUUGGUUUCUUGUGCUAGAGUUUUCAAGGAAUUUGUAUUCACAAAAUAGCGUGCUUGUUAGAGACUAACAAAUAUUUUAUAAUUAGUAACAACGUAAUUUUUACAAAAACAAUAUAUAUUUUGACACUAAUUUAUAAAAAAGAGAAUUCAAACUUAGUUGCAAUGAAUUUGUUAUAAAAAAAUAAAAAAAAUAAAAAAAAACUUUGUUGCAAUGAAUUAUUUUCAGAAGCUAUGUCCUUGUUUCGCUAGUUUGUUUGUUUUGUUGAAGAUUUGUAGCUAUUUUUUGUUAUUGUUAUUCCAAAAAUGUCAUUUACAUUGCACCAUUCACGUAGAAAUCCAUCGCCGUGCUUGAAAUUGCAGAUAAUGAAUGAAAAAUCAUAAAAUGUACAGGAAGGAGCAACAUUGGUACAACAAUUCUACGGCUUAGUACGACGACUGCCGCUGUAUGUUCCGUGAAGAUAUAUUUUCAAAUCCUCGGCGUUGUUUCUGGAAAUAAGGAUGAAGACUAUGGACUCCCUCUAGACAUACCGGUAUCUGCAUUUCAAUCAAGCAUGACACCUACACAGAUAAUUCAUCCUCAGUGCACAGGAAGACCAAACCCUUACGAGUGGAAAAGAGAAAGCAAUCGGAAACAAGUGUACUAGAGAAACAGGACACCACUUACUGCUGGACGGAAAGCAAACAUCUCUUCUUGACCAGAUAGCUGGGAUAUUAUACCGGUUGGGGCACCUCCAGAACUCACAUUACCUUCUGCUAAAACAUCGCGGCGAAGUUUUGAACCUUCCGUCUCUGUUUCAAACUGUUAUGAUAUGAAUGAUUUCCUUCCCAUUUGGUAGCAUGGUGAUCGUUGACUAUCAACGUUUUAUUCUUUCCUUUUGUAAAAAUAUUUACUUAGCUGAUUUGUAGGAAUUACGGGAUGUGAUUGUAUCCUUACAGUUUGUAUAAGAACUCUAGCCUAGCUUGUAUAUUUCAAUGAAUCAAUACAUUCUAUUUUUAAGAUGGUACCAGAGAGUCCAAGAUCCUAGGAUUUUUUUUGUUUCCUUGGUUUCUCUUAGUUCCUUUUUCUUCGGUUUUUCUUGUGAGCAAAGUUGUCUUUUUUUGCCAUGGGAGACUCCAAGUCGGUUGAGGUGUUGAACGAUCCCUCAAGCCCUUUCUAUAUUCAUCACUCUGAUAAUCCAGGGAUGCAUCUUGUUUCCACUCCACUUACUGGAAACAAUUAUAGCACAUGGUCUCGUUCAAUGCGUAUUGCCCUUAGCGCAAAGAACAAAUUUGGUUUUGUUGAUGGGUCUGUGAAGAAGCUGUCAGACAACAAAGCAACUGAAGCUGCUCUUUGGCAGUGCUGUAAUGACAUGGGUCUCAUGUGGAUUUUAAAUUCUGUGAGUUCUGGGUUAUCAAACAGUGUGGUUUGUGCAGAAACUGCACAUGCUGUUUAGGAGGACCUCAAGACUCGUUUUUCGCAAGACAACGUCCCGCAAAUUUUUGAGAUUCAGCGUGACAUUGCACGCCUCACUCAAAAUCAGAUGUCUAUGUCUGACUAUUAUUCCCAAUUGAAGGGUUUAUGGAAUGAAUUAUCUUCUUACGGCAGCCAUAAAAACUGCUCAUGUGGUGCCAUGGAAGACCGUAACGAGAAAGAGGAGCAGAAUAAGGUUAUGCAAUUUUUAAUGGGGCUUGAUGAUUCAUAUGCAACAAUGAGAGGUCAGAUUCUGCUUGUAAAGCCAUUACCUUUAGUGCUCAAAGUUUUUUCAAUGGUUAACCAAGAGGAGAAGCAACGUGGAAUUGCAGCCAUCCCACAACCAAGUGUGGAAGGAGCAGCCAUGGCAGUUCAAGGUGGUCGAGGUAAUCAACACAGUCGUGGUAGCCAAGGGAAUCGCAAGCCGCUACAUUGUGAUUAUUGUGACAUGGACCAUCACACCAGGGAGACUUGCUACCAGCUUCAUGGAUAUCCCGAGGACCAUCGUCUCUAUAAAACAGGGGGAGCAUUUGGUAUGUCGCCUUCACAAGUCUUUGUAUGGAUUAAAGCAGGCCUUUCGGCAGUGGUUUUUUAAGUUUUCUGAGGCUAUUUGUGCAGCUGGGUAUACACAGUCCAAAGCCGAUUAUUCCCUUUUUACAAGAAAAGUUGGCAAACCAUUCACAGCUCUCCUUAUUUAUGUUGAUGAUAUCUUGAUCACUGGUAAUGACAUGACGGCUAUUGGUUCUCUUAAAUCUUUUUUGAAUAAACGCUUCCGCAUCAAAGAUUUAGGAGCCCUUUAACAUUUUUUAGGAAUAGAGAUUGCCCGUUCAAAAAAGGGGAUCUUUAUUUCUCAAAGAAAAUAUUUAUUGGACAUUUUGAAAUAUGUGGGUCUUUUGGGAGCACGAUCAGCUAGCUUCCCUAUGGAACAAAAUUUGAAGCUACUUCCUAAUGAUGGAGAUUUGCUUCACGAUCCAUCCAUGUAUCGAAGAUUGAUAGGACGUUUGAUAUAUUUAACUAUUACUAGACCCGAUAUUACUUUUGUAGUGAACACGUUGAGUCGUUUCAUGCAACAUCCUUACAAGCCUCACUAUGAUGCAGCUUUACGUGUUUUGAGAUAUUUGAAUAACACUCCAAGUCAAGUUAUUUUGUUUUCCUCACAAAGUUUGUUACGAUUGAAGGCUUUUUGUGAUGCCGAUUGGGCAGGGUGUCCGGUGACUUGACAUUCUACUACCAGAUAUUGUGUUUUCCUUGGAGAUUCUUUAAUUUCAUGGAAAAGCAAAAAGCAGAAGACUGUCUCAUUAUCUUCUGCAGAAGCAGAGUACCGUUCAAUGGCUGCUACCUGUUGUGAGCUCACUUGGUUACAAAGUCUUUUAUGUGAUUUACGUAUUAAAGAUAUAGGCCCAGCUAUUUUACACUGUGAUAACCAAGCGGCUCUUCACAUUGCCGCUAAUCCUGUUUUUCAUGAGCGGACACGCCAUAUAGAGAUUGACUGUCAUUUUGUUCGAGAUAAAAUUCAAGAAGGAAAGGUAGUCACCAAAUUUGUUCCAUCUUCAAGGCAAGUUGCAGACAUAUUCACGUAGCCUUUAGGAAAAGAACAGUUCCGUUUUUUGUUGAGCAAGUUAGCGAUUUUUGACAUUCACUCGCCAACUUGAGGGGGAGUGUUAUGAUAUGAAUGAUUUCCUUCCCAUUUGGUAGCAUGGUGAUCGUUGACUAUCAACGUUUUAUUCUUUCCUUUUGUAAAAAUAUUUACUUAGCUGAUUUGUAGGAAUUACAGGAUGUGAUUGUAUCUUUACAGUUUGUAUAAGAACUCUAGCCUAGCUUGUAUAUUUCAAUGAAUCAAUACAGAAGAUUAUUCAUACUGUCAUUCUAUUUUUAAGACAAGCUGGAAACUAAAAGCAACAAUUGCACAUGCUCUCAAUAUCAUUUGUUUAAGAAUUAGACCGAAAUGUUACCAGCCAUAACAUUACUAAAAAAUAACCUUUAACAGAAGUGAACACUCACCUCUCCAAAUCAAAAGGAGCACCCUCUUCAGUUCCUUGAAAUAAUUCAUCAAUAGAAGAUGCUGCCGAAAAAAAUAGACGACAAUGCAGCUGUGUUUCUCCUCCUACUCACUAUCAUUCGAACGGUCUGCUCCAUUAUCUCUAUUACUUGAUCAAUCAGCAGUAAAUGUCUCCUCUCCGUCUAGUCGUUUAUCUUUUUGAUCAACUCUCUCUGUAUAGUCUUUCAAAGAGCAAUCUGUAUUGAGAGACUGAGUAAUGUUUGUAUGUACAUGCGUACGUGCGAUGAUGAGUAAGAUCCCUGUAAUUUUUCCAUGAAAGUGUGCUGUGAUGUGUGCAUUGUAAGAGUGAUUGAACAUUGAAGUAGUGAAUUGAGUGCUUCUUCUGUUGGUUUCCUAUUUUUUGUACUUGAUUAUCUCAUACUCCCUAUCCCUAACCUUGUGUGUGUUUCAACGAGGAAUUCUUGACGUUGCAUAGUAGAACUCAUUAAAGCCCGAUUCUCAUCAUCGAGGUCGAUAAAAGAAAUCAACGAAGCACAAACAGACAGAACUUUGAAGAUGAACUUAUUUCCUUUCAAUAGUCAGGAACUAUCAACGGCACUGAGCUGGAACAACCUGUUCUUCCUGAAUAUCUUGAGUCUUAAGGAACUUCAUCUCCGUUUCUAAGAGCAUGUUUGGUAUUCUAUUUAGAAACUUGGACUUGAAAAUUUUGAUUUGUUCAAAGAACAUAGUUCUAACUACAAUUCAUAAGACUCAAAAAUUCAUUUGGUAUGAGAACUUGAAACUUAUUUUUAGAUCACUAUCAAAUAUUCUAAGACAACUCCGCCAUGUAAGUUUAUCUUACAUUGCCGGUCCCAAGCCCGGAUAAAGGAGGAGGGGGAGGGCGUCAGGUAGUCGACAGCCGGCACUCCAUGAUCACGUCGAAUCCUUAUGAAAAUGAAUCCAGAACGAAAUCGCGCUAAAGCUAGGGCGUCACCCGUAAGUGGCGCGCUGUGUGGCCCGAGCACAGUGAUAAGUGAGCAAGGGUCGCUGUAUCUCCAUCAGCACCCGGAUGCAGUGUUAAAUGAGUAAGGGGGCUAUAGAAACUUCUUUUCGAACGACUCCACUCAAAGUUGUUUGGGAGCAUAUGCUCCUAUCAACUUUACACGGGACACACAAAAGAAGUACUUUGAUCCUAUUAGACGGGGAAGGGUGAAGAAGCUAGGACAGAAGGGUAGAGUUCAAGAGCAAAAUGCGUUUAGGAACGUAGAAUAUAGGAACCUUGACGGGAAAAUCUAUGGAAGUAGUAGAAGUUAUGGUGAGGAGAAGGAUAAAUAUUAUGUGCCUACAAGAAACUAAGUGGGUUGGUCGUAAGGCAAAGGAUCUAGAAAACUCAGGGGUUUAAACUAUGGUAUUCGGGCACAAAUAGAACGAGAAACGGUGUUGGCAUCAUCGUGGACAAGACCUUGACACAAGAUGUUGUAGAUGUCAAGAGGGUAGGAGAUAGAAUCAUAGCAAUCAAGAUUGUAAUAGGACAAGAACUUAUCAAUGUGAUUAGUGCGUACGCACCUCAAGUAGGGUUGGAUACGAGUUCGAAGGAGAAAUUUUGGGAAAACCUUGGAGACUUGGUGCAAGGAAUUGCUCAGACGGAGAAGUUAUUUAUAGGAGGAGAUUUAAAUGGACACGUGGGCAGGGAGACAGGCAACUAUGGAGGUUUUCAUGGUGGCCAUGGUUUUGGGGAGAGAAACGAGGAUGGGGAAGCUAUCUUGGAUUUUGCAAUGGCAUAUGAUCUCUUCUUAGCCAACACCUUUUUUAAGAAGAGAGAAGAACAUGUGAUCACCUACAAGAGUGGGUCGUAAAAAACACAAAUAGAUUUUCUUCUAAUGAGGAAAGGGGAUCGUAUAACUUGUAAGGAUUGCAAAGUUAUACCAGGAGAGAGCGUGGCUAAUCAACAUCGCUUGUUGGUGAUGGAUAUACAUAUCAAAAGAGUGAGAAAAAAGAACAAGACUUGGAAGUGCCCAAGGACUAGAUGGUGGAAUCUAAAAGAAGAAAAACAAGCCAUUUUCAAAGAGAAAGUAAUCACCCACUGUGUGUGGGAUAGAGAGGGGGAAGCUAACCAACUGUGGGAUUCCAUGGCUAGUUGUAUCCGAAAAGUAGCAAAAGAGGUAUUAGGAGAGUCCAAGGGCUUUGCCCCACACCAAAAGGAAUCUUGGUGGUGGAAUGAGGAGGUACAAACAAAGGUGAAGGCUAAGAAGGAAUGUUGUAAAGCCUUAUACAAGGAUAGGAUCGAUGAAAAUGGUGAAAGGUAUAGAAAAGCGAAGCAAGAGGCGAAGAAAGCUGUGAGAGAAGCUAAGUUAGCGGCUUAUGACGAUAUGUAUAAGCGACUAGAUACCAAAGAAGGAGAGUUGGAUAUCUAUAAACUAGCUAGAGCAAGGGAAAAGAAGACAAGAGACCUAAACCAAGUGAGGUGCAUCAAGGAUGAGGAUGGAAAUGUUCUUGCUACAGAGAACGCGGUUAAAGAUAGAUGGAAAGGUUAUUUUCAUAAUCUUUUCAAUGAAGGACAUGAAAGGAGUGCUUCUUUAGGGGAGUUGAGUAACUCAGAAGAGUGUAGAAACUACUCUUUUUAUCGUAGAAUCCGGAAGGAAGAAGUGGUUGUAGCUUUGAAGAAGAUGAAGCAUAGAAAAGCAGUAGGCCCAGACGAUAUACCAAUCGAAGUGUGGAAAGUUUUGGGAGAGACAUGUAUAACAUGGCUCACUGACCUUUUUAAUAGGAUUUUGAAAACGAAGAAGAUGCCAAAUGAGUGGCGAAUGAGCACUUUGGUGCCUAUCUACAAGAAUAAGGGCGAUGUACAAAAUUGCAUGAACUAUAGGGGUAUUAAGCUAAUGAGUCAUACAAUGAAGCUCUGGGAGAUAGUCAUUGAGCAUAUAUUGAGGCAAGAAACACGGGUUUCGGACAACCAAUUCGGGUUCAUGCCAGGUCGCUCACCAUGGAGGCAAUCUAUCUCUUACGAAGAUUGAUGGAAAGAUAUAGAGAUGGGAAAAAGGAUUUACACAUGGUCUUUAUAGAUUUGGAAAAAGCGUACGAUAGGGUCCCAAGAGACAUUCUUUGGAGGAUUUUAGAGAAGAAAGGAGUACGAGUAGCAUAUAUCCAAGCUAUACAGGAUAUGUACGAAGGAGCAAAGACUGCCGUAAGAACUCAUGAAGGACAAACCGAAAGCUUUCCCAUAACUGUAGGAUUACAUCAAGGCUCAUCCUUAAGUCCUUAGCUUUUUGCGUUGGUAAUGGAUGAGUUAACAGGACAUAUUCAAGAUGAUAUUCCUUGGUGUAUGCUUUUCGCAGACGAUAUAGUGUUGAUAGAUGAAACUCAGGAAGGGGUAAAUGCAAAGCUUAACCUUUGGAGAGAAGUGUUGGAAUCUAAAGGUCUUCGCCUAAGCCGAUCAAAGACAGAAUAUAUGGAGUGCAAGUUCAGUGCAAAUGGAGGCCAAAACGAGUUAGGGGUGAGGAUCGGAGAUCAAGAAAUACCAAAGAGCGACCGUUUUCGUUACCUAGGAUCUAUCUUGCAAAAGAACGGAGAAUUAGAUGGAGAUCUCAACCAUAGAAUACAAGCUGGAUGGAUGAAGUGGAAGAGUGCAUCCGGCGUGUUGUGUGUGACCGUCGUAUGCCACUGAAGCUCAAGGGAAAAUUUUAUAGGACGGCAAUAAGGCCGGCGAUGCUGUAUGGCACAGAAUGUUGGGCGGUGAAGCAUCAACACGUACACAAAAUGGGUGUAGCGGAGAUGAGGAUGCUUCGUUGGAUGUGUGGGCACACGAGAAAGGAUAAGAUUAGGAAUGAGGAUAUCCGGGGUAAAGUAGGAGUAGCCGAAAUUGAAGGAAAGAUGAGAGAAAAUCGGUUACGUGGUUUGGACAUGUGCAAAGAAGGCCUACUGACGCUCCGAUUAGAAGAUGCGACUAUGGGACAGAGGUUCAGGGUCGAAGGGGUAGAGGAAGACCUAGGAAAACUUUGGAAGAGACCCUAAGAAAAGACUUAGAGUACUUGGAUCUAACGGAGGACAUGACACAGGACAGAACACAAUGGCGUUCUAAGAUUCAUAUAGCCGAUCCCACUCAGUGACGUGGAUUUUCCAAGUCUCCAACCGAGAAGUUUUCCUCACUCGGGAAAUUAAGGGAACACUACCUCAACCUACAUGCUCCACUCACAAAGCUUCAACAAAAGAAAAUUCAAAGAACUUAGCGAAGAAGGCUUUGGUGUAUUUAACACAAUACGUUGAAAUGAAGGAAAGCUUAUUUAUUGAUAUCCCCGAUAAGUUACAAAUAUGUACAUAUACUUGAGUCAAAAUAAACAAACAAGAGGGAGCCUUCACAAAGGUGGCUUAGGAGAAGUCUCAGCAGUCGGUAGAGCCCCAGAAAGAGAAGGCACCAGAGGGGGAUCAUUUGGAGCCUCAGUACUGGACAAAACCCUAGAAGGAGGAGGCAUCAGAGGUUGAUCAUUUAGAGCUUCAUUACGCGGUACAGCCUCAGAAGACGAAGGCAAUAAAUGCCUUUGGAACAAACCCACAAAUCUCUGAUGAUCAAGUAAAACCUGACCAUCAGAUUCCUUCAUCUGGUCAAGCUUCCUCUUCAUGUUUGUAGCAUAGUCAUGUGCGAGUCGGUGCAACUGUUUAUUCUCAUGCUUGAGCCCUCUAAUCUCCUGUUUGAGACUCAUCACUUCAGCCGCCAAUGAUUCAACUUGGCGGGUUCGAGCAAAUAGGCGUUGGGCCAUAUUAGACACAGAACCUGCACACUGAACACUGAGAGCCAGAGAAUCCUUAACAGCCAACUCAUCAGACCGUUUGGAAAGUAGUCUGGUAUCUUUGGGAGUGAGAAGGUUCCUGGCCACUACCGCAGCAGUCAUAUCAUUCUUCAUCACGGAAUCCCCAACGGUAAGAGGACCAGUAGGGGAGACGAAUGAUGGGCGCCAUAUGUUGUCUGGAGAAGGCGGGGCUGCCUCUUCAACAAGGUUCAAGUCAAAACGACGGUCGGAGGGGCCAGACAUUUUCAAAGGUGUUAAAGAGAGAAGAGGUCGGACAAAUCAAGAUCUUAGAAGUGCAAGAAUGGAGCUUCUACUAAUGGAUAUUCAAGUAUGCUUUGGAACUUAAUGUCAGCCCCUAUAAAAAUCUGCACUCGACGAAGCUUCAGAAAUCGAAGAGGCGUUUGCUUUCUCAAAAGCUGGGCUGCUCAGAGACCACGAGGGUUGAUCUCAGAAAUCGAAGAGGCGUUUGCUUUCUCAAAAGCUGGGCUGCUCAAAGACCACGAAGGCCGAUCUCAGAAAUCGAAGAGGCUUGCUUUCUCAAAAGCUGGGCUGCUCAGAGACCACGAGGGCCAAUCUCAGAAUUCGAAGAGGCACCUACUUUUCCAGCCUUGUCAGCACCUGUCACACGCACACUCAGCUUUGCGGAAAUUAUGGGCAUUCUGUCGAAGAUUUCUGGCGAAAUAGAAAGCACAUGAAUCGUACUGUUCAAUCACCCACUUCCCACACGCAACAGUAACUCAUGGGUACCACAUAUAACUUUGCUAAAGUUCUCUGACAAAGUUGAGACACGUGAAGCUUGCAGCUCCCGCUACAUCGCUCUGACCAAGAAGGGUAAAAGAAUUGCAAAGAAACAACACUAACAAAGUUUAGACACAUAAAUUUUGAAGGUCUAGCUACCAUAUUAUUACCCACAAGGGUAAAGGAACAGUACCACUGCUGGAUAAUUGGAAAGUCCCGGUGUGUCAACCUCUGUGCUUCGUGGCAAGGUAGACUAGCAAACAUGCCCAACCUUUACUCACAUUCGAGAAAACACGCCCAACAGGAUUGCUUGCUCCAAAAUCGAAGAGGCACCGCCCUCCGAAUCUCGAGAGCCAGACUCCCAACAUGAUUACUUUCUCAAAAAUCGAAGAGAGGGUAAAGGAACAGUACCACUGCUGGAUAAUUGGAAAGUCCCCUGUGUGUCAACCUUUGUGCUUCGUGGCAAGGUAGACUAGCAAACAUGCCCAACCUUUACUCACAUUCGAGAAAACACUCCCAACAAGAUUGCUUGCUCCAAAAUCGAAGAGGCACCGCCCUCCGAAUCUCGAGAGCCAGACUCCCAACAUGAUUACUUUCUCAAAAAUCGAAGAGAGGGUAAAGGAACAGUACCACUGCUGGAUAAUUGGAAAGUCCCUGUGUGUCAACCUCUGUGCUUCGUGGCAAGGUAGACUAGCAAACAUGCCCAACCUUUACUCACAUUCGAGAAAACACUCCCAACAAGAUUGCUUGCUCCAAAAUCGAAGAGGCACCGCCCUCCGAAUCUCGAGAGCCAGACUCCCAACAUGAUUACUUUCUCAAAAAUCGAAAAGGCACCGCUCUCCGAAUCUCGAGAGCCAGACUCCCAGCAGGAUUGCUUUCUCAAAAAUCGAAGAGGCAUCGUUCUCCGAAUCUCGAGAGCCAGAUCCCCGACAGGAUUGCUUGUUCGAAAACCGAAGAGGCACCACUUUCCCAACUUCAAGAGUUGGAUCUCCUUGGAUAAAGCUUGUCUAUAAUCUUCACACGCAACAUCAGCUUUCCAGAUACCACAGACCACUUUUUCAAAGU
rnacentral:lncRNA from 1 species